rnacentral:ncRNA from 1 species
GUUUCCGGGGUCUGUGGUUGAAAAUCCAGGCCAGGCGCGGGCGAAGGGAUCCACGUAAACCGCCGCGGAAGGCGGCGACUAUCAUGGCGCGCUCUAGAUGUAAGUCCUCGGUAAAAUACCGGUCAAGGCGAGUGUGGGGGCAAAGACCAGGUCAGCCCGGAGAC